rnacentral:SRP_RNA from 1 species
CACGAGGGGCGGCAGAUACUUGUCGAACCCCGCCAGGACCGAGAGGUAGCAACGGUAGGUGAGUUCCUCUGGGUGCCCCUCGCUUGC